UGGCGGAGGCAGAUGCAGUGCAGAUGGCAGAAGAAGUUUGGAGUCUCGAAGUUCGCUGCUGCCGAGGUUCAACACGCUGGAAAUAUCGGGACCGGCAUCACGGUGAGCUGCUGGGAAACCGGCUCGGCAGUUGUGGUGGUGACCCCUAUCAUGUGGCAGGCCCUGGACAUCCUCUUGCGACAGAACUGAGCGCACCGCCACAGUAGCAAUGAUGGCUGGCGCUGUCCUCAUGGACAGUGAACAGAGCGUCGAGGGGUACUCGGUAGCUUUCAAACUUCUCAGCGAAACCCAUCUGCUCUUGUUUGGGGAGUCAAUUCGCACAAGAGCCCCACUUGCGGUGGCUGGACGUCAUGAAGGAACACAAUCCGACAUACCUAGAGAUUAAUCAAUGCCGUGGGGAUGAG